GCGCCAUUGGUUUAGUGGUAAAAUUCAACGUUGCCAUCGUUGAGCCCUGGGUUCGAUUCCCAGAUGGCGCA
rnacentral:tRNA from 1 species